GGAUCACGGGGCGCGCGGACAGGAGCGUCCCUCAGGGAAACGCCCGUCCCCUCAUGGAUACCCUCACAGUUGCUGCUGCGGCAGAUGAGCCUCUGCUUCUCGCCGUGCAGGGCGUGUGUGCCGAGUGGUAAUGCGAGUGCAGGGGUCCUGCUGCAAGUGACCACAGGUGAAUUGGAGAUUGGAAAACUGGCCUCUGCAGUGGUGGUAUGUGUGCUUGGGCAACAACAGCAGAUUCUUGAUGUGUAGGGAAUGGGAAAGAACAGCAUUCAGAUUGAUUUGGCUAUUUGUGUCCUUUAAUUAUUGAUAGUUCAGUCAUUAAAGAAUAAUGUGAAAAACACUUUAACCAGCAGUUGUUAAUGCAAAACUUUGAGCUCACUCAGACAUUGCUUCUGUAUUCAAAUCUUG
rnacentral:lncRNA from 12 species